rnacentral:rRNA from 1 species
GACGAACGCUGGCGGCGUGCUUAACACAUGCGAGUCGAACGGAAAGGCCUCUUUCGGGGGGUACUCGAGUGGCGAACGGGUGAGUAACACGUGAGUAACCUGCCCUUGACUUUGGGAUAACUUCAGGAAACUGGGGCUAAUACCGGAUAGGAGCUCCUGCUGCAUGGUGGGGGUUGGAAAGUUUCGGCGGUUGGGGAUGGACUCGCGGCUUAUCAGCUUGUUGGUGGGGUAGUGGCUUACCAAGGCUUUGACGGGUAGCCGGCCUGAGAGGGUGACCGGCCACAUUGGGACUGAGAUACGGCCCAGACUCCUACGGGAGGCAGCAGUGGGGAAUAUUGCACAAUGGGUGGAAGCCUGAUGCAGCAACGCCGUGUGCGGGAUGACGGCCUGCGGGUUGUAAACCGCUUUCGCUCAUGACGAAGCUUUGUGUGACGGUAGUGGGUAAAGAAGCACCGGCUAACUACGU